rnacentral:rRNA from 1 species
AGAUUGAACGCUGGCGGCAGGCUUAACACAUGCAAGUCGAGCGGAAACGAUGGGAGCUUGCUCCCAGGCGUCGAGCGGCGGACGGGUGAGUAACACUUAGGAAUCUACCUAGUAGUGGGGGAUAGCUCGGGGAAACUCGAAUUAAUACCGCAUACGUCCUACGGGAGAAAGGGGGCAGUUUACUGCUCUCGCUAUUAGAUGAGCCUAAGUCGGAUUAGCUAGAUGGUGGGGUAAAGGCCUACCAUGGCGACGAUCUGUAGCUGGUCUGAGAGGAUGAUCAGCCACACCGGGACUGAGACACGGCCCGGACUCCUACGGGAGGCAGCAGUGGGGAAUAUUGGACAAUGGGGGGAACCCUGAUCCAGCCAUGCCGCGUGUGUGAAGAAGGCCUUUUGGUUGUAAAGCACUUUAAGCAGUGAAGAAGACCAUAUGGUUAAUACCCAUAUGCGAUGACAUUAGCUGCAGAAUAAGCACCGGCUAACUCUGUGCCAGCAGCCGCGGUAAUACAGAGGGUGCAAGCGUUAAUCGGAAUUACUGGGCGUAAAGCGAGCGUAGGUGGCUUGAUAAGUCAGAUGUGAAAUCCCCGGGCUUAACCUGGGAACUGCAUCUGAUACUGUUAAGCUAGAGUAGGUGAGAGGGAAGUAGAAUUCCAGGUGUAGCGGUGAAAUGCGUAGAGAUCUGGAGGAAUACCGAUGGCGAAGGCAGCUUCCUGGCAUCAUACUGACACUGAGGCUCGAAAGACGGCUUUUU